GCCCUAGCUCAGUUGCAGAGCAUCUGCCUUCCAUGCAGAAGGUCCCGGGUUCAAUUUCUGGCAUCUGACU